ACAUGACCACCUAGAACUAGAACACUCUAACGCGUGCCUCCUUUGCCCGCAAAAGCAUCGAGGGUUUUCUCAUACCUUCCUCAGCAAACCGCCAGAAGAAGAAAGACUCUCUCUCUCUCUCUCUCUCUCUCUCUCUCUCUGUAGCGAUGCACGCUCCAGUACUCGUUCUCAAAGAUUCUUUGACAAGGGAAUCUGGAAGCAAGGUGCACCAUGCCAAUAUCCAAGCAUCAAAGGCUGUGGCUGACAUUAUCCGUACUACUUUGGGUCCUCGAUCCAUGUUGAAGAUGCUACUUGAUGCUGCAGGAGGAAUUGUUGUCACUAACGAUGGUAAUGCCAUACUACGUGAGUUGGAUAUUGGCCAUCCAGCUGCUAAGUCCAUGAUUGAACUUAGCCGCACACAAGAUGAAGAAGUAGGGGAUGGAACAACAUCUGUCAUUGUUCUUGCUGGUGAGUUGCUGCAUGUGGCGGAGGCCUUUAUUAACAAGAAAUAUCAUCCUACUGUCAUUUGCCGAGCCUACAAUAAAGCACUUGAGGAUUCGAUUGCUGUGCUUGACAAGAUAGCUAUGUCCAUUGAUGUGAAUGAUCGUGCUACAAUGCUGGGCUUAGUUAAAAGUUGUAUUGGCACAAAGUUUACAAGUCAAUUUGGGAACCUAAUUGCUGAUCUAGCACUUGAUGCUACCACAAUGGUUGGUGUGGACCUUGGUCAAGGCUUGCGUGAUGUGGAUAUAAAGAAAUACAUAAAAGUUGAGAAGGUUCCUGGAGGCCAGUUGGAAGACUCUAAAGUUCUUAAAGGAGUUUUGAUUAACAAAGACAUUGUUGCCCCUGGAAAAAUGAGAAGGAAGAUUACGAACCCACGAAUUAUUCUUCUUGAUUGCCCUCUUGAAUAUAAGAAAGGAGAGAAUCAAACAAAUGCAGAGUUGGUUAAAGAAGAAGACUGGGGUGUCCUUCUGAAGAUGGAGGAGGAAUACAUCGAGGGCCUCUGCAUGCAGAUACUGAAGUUCAAACCAGACUUGGUAAUCACCGAAAAAGGGCUUAGUGAUCUGGCAUGCCAUUAUUUGAGUAAGGCUGGUGUCAGUGCAAUAAGGAGGUUGAGGAAGACUGACAACAACAGGGUUGCCAAGGCUUGUGGAGCAGUUGUCGUCAAUAGACCAGAGGAGCUCCAAGAAUCUGAUAUCGGAACUGGAGCAGGACUUUUUGAAGUUAAGAAAAUUGGUGAUGAGUUCUUUGCAUUUAUUGUUGAUUGCAAAGACCCAAAAGCAUGCACCGUUCUUUUAAGAGGCGCUAGUAAGGAUCUUUUGAAUGAAGUAGAAAGAAACUUGCAGGAUGCUAUGUCUGUGGCGCGGAACAUUAUAAAAAAUCCUAAGCUUGUUCCUGGCGGUGGUGCUACGGAGUUGACUGUAUCAGCAACAUUGAAGCAAAAUAGUUCAUCCAUUGAAGGUGUUGAAAAGUGGCCCUAUGAAGCUGCUGCUGUAGCUUUCGAAGCAAUCCCAUGCACCUUGGCACAAAACCGUGGGGUGAAUGUGAUUCGAACAAUGACUGCCCUGCAAGGAAAGCAUGCAAAUGGUGAGAAUGCGUGGAUUGGCAUAGACGGAAACACUGGUGCAAUCACCGAUAUGAAAGAGCGGAAGAUUUGGGAUGCUUACAAUGUGAAGGCACAGACGUUCAAGACGGCGAUUGAGGCUGCAUGCAUGCUUCUGAGGAUCGAUGAUAUUGUGAGCGGGAUCAAGAAGAAGCAGGCUCCUGGGGCCGGUCCCACUCCAAAGAAACCUCAAGUCGAGGAAGAAGGAGAUGCAGAUAAUGAGCAAAUGAUUCCAGAGUAGUACCAUUGGGAAAAUUUUGAAAACUUUGGUUCUUCAGUCAAUAAAAGGAUUCUGCACGAGUCUAAUGCGUGUUAUUUGUCAUCAAUCUGGAGGCCAAUCAAUCUUUUUUGAUUGAGGCUGGCAGCCAUAUGUUUGUGCUUGUGCUGGGGAAAACAUGUUGGAUCGCAUAUUAGCAGACCUGUUUAGCAGUGUUUGGUUGUCUUGCAGAUGAGCCGGGAUUGAUUUAUGCCAAAAACCAUUAUUCCUCUCAUUUCAACUCCUAGAUUAGGUAAUUUCUUUUCAACGGUUGGAUAGUGACUAUCAUGAUAUUAGAGCACAAUUUGUGAAUGUUCAUUUAGUGGGCCUCAUCCUGCAUUGAACAUU